rnacentral:rRNA from 1 species
GGGCUGCAACCCGCCCACCAUGAAGUUGGAGUUGCUAGUAAUCGCGGAUCAGCAUACCGCGGUGAAUACGUUCCCGGGCCUUGUACACACCGCCCGUCACACCAUGGGAGUUGGGAGCGCCCGAAGCCGGUGAGGUAACCGAGAGGAGCCAGCCGUCGAAGGUGAGACCAAUGACUGGGGUGAAGUCGUAACAAGGUAGC